GCCUUCGUGCCGCAAUUGGAAGACGGAGCGGUCUUAGAAACCGAUGGUUGCAGGUUCGACUCCUGCCGGAGGCA
rnacentral:tRNA from 1 species